AUAAGAAGUGAUUUUAGUCACUGAAAAAAUAAUAUCAAUAAGUCAUUUAUGAUCAUGCAAUCAGCACAUGCAUAUGCAUAGUAUCUGGAAAAACCAUUUGCAGCAUAUUAAAUGCCAAAAUGACUAGCGAAACAAAAUUCUUAGAUCCCAUAAAAUGGAACAAAAAAAUACACAUCACUGUGCGCCUAUCACUUACACACUUACACAUUCUCGUCAGAAAAGCAUGCACCUAACAACGCACACAGAGCAACAGAUUCAAUUGUUUAGUGAUCAUUAACAUUUAUUUCAAUGUCACCUCCUACAUGUAAUGAGAGACAUUAAGACCAGAGUGCCAACUGCCAAAUAAUUAUACCAACCCUACCUGCCUUAUAACAUAAUGCUUCAAAUACUCCCUACCUCCCUGUCUUAUAUAGAUGACAAAAUUUUGUUCACAUGCAAGUUGUAUCAAGUUUACUUGCUCACAAAAA
rnacentral:misc_RNA from 1 species